rnacentral:rRNA from 1 species
UACCAGCACCCCGAGUGGUCGGGACGAUUAUUGGGCCUAAAGCAUCCGUAGCCGGUUCUACAAGUCUUCCGUUAAAUCCACCUGCUUAACAGAUGGGCUGCGGAGGAUACUAUAGAGCUAGGAGGCGGGAGAGGCAAGCGGUACUUAGUGGGUAGGGGUAAAUCCGUUGAUCCAUUGAAGACCACCAGUGGCGAAGGCGGCUUGCCAGAACGCACUCGACGGUGAGGGAUGAAAGGCUGGGGGAGCAAACCGG